UACAGAGGUCCCAAGCGUUGUUCGGAUUCACUGGGCGUAAAGGGUGCGUAGGCGGCCAACUAAGUCAUACGUGAAAUCCCUCGGCUUAACCGGGGAACUGCGUCUGAUACUGGAUGGCUUGAGUUCGGGAGAGGGAUGCGGAAUUCCAGGUGUAGCGGUGAAAUGCGUAGAUAUCUGGAGGAACACCGGUGGCGAAGGCGGCAUCCUGGACCGAUACUGACGCUGAGGAGCGAAAGCCAGGGGAGCAAACGGGG
rnacentral:rRNA from 1 species